CACGUUGAUAGGCCGGGUGUGUAAGCGCAGCGAUGCGUUGAGCUAACCGGUACUAAUGAACCGUGAGGCUUAACCUUACAACGCCGAAG
rnacentral:rRNA from 2 species